GACGAACGCUGGCGGCGUGCCUAAUACAUGCAAGUCGAACGAGAGCGACCGGUGCUUGCACUGGUCAAUCUAGUGGCGAACGGGUGAGUAACACGUGGGUAACCUGCCCAUCAGAGGGGGAUAACAUCCGGAAACGGAUGCUAACACCGCAUAGGUCUUCGAACCGCAUGGUUUGAAGAGGAAAAGAGGCGCAAGCUUCUGCUGCUGGAUGGACCCGCGGUGCAUUAGCUAGUUGGUGAGGUAACGGCUCACCAAGGCCGUGAUGCAUAACCGACCUGAGAGGGGGAUCGGCCACAUUGGGACUGAGACACGGCCCAAACUCCUACGGGAGGCAGCAGUAGGGAAUCUUCCGCAAUGGACGCAAGUCUGACGGAGCAACGCCGCGUGAGUGAAGAAGGUUUUCGGAUCGUAAAACUCUGUUGUGAGAGAAGAACAAGUGCUAGAGUAACUGUUAGCGCCUUGACGGUAUCUAACCAGAAAGCCACGGCUAACUACGUG
rnacentral:rRNA from 1 species